rnacentral:rRNA from 1 species
CAAUGGAGAGUUUGAUCCUGGCUCAGGACGAACGCUGGCGGCGUGCUUAACACAUGCAAGUCAAGGAGAACGUCCCGCUUGCGGGAUUAUUAAACUGGCGAACGGGUGAGUAACGCGUAGACAACCUGCCCUACAGAUUGGGAUAACCCCGGGAAACCGGGACUAAUACCGAAUGAUGCAACAGAUCCUUCGGGAUACAGUUGUUAAAGUGGGCUUCGGCUCACACUAUGGGAUGGGUCUGCGUCCGAUUAGCUUGUUGGUAAGGUAAUGGCUUACCAAGGCGAUGAU